CAGGGAUUGCCUCAGUAGCGGCGAGUGAAGCGGCAAAAGCUCAAAUUUGAAAUCUGGUAGUUCUGCUACCUGAGUUGUAAUUUGUAGAAAACUGUCUUUGUUAGGGUGCCUGUCUAAGUUCCUUGGAACAGGACGUCGCAGAGGGUGAGAAUCCCGUGUGAUGGGUGGCCCGAGCUUUUAAGGCGUUUUCGAAGAGUCGAGUUGUUUGGGAAUGCAGCUCUAAGUGGGUGGUAAAUUCCAUCUAAAGCUAAAUAUUGGCGAGAGACCGAUAGCGAACAAGUACAGUGAUGGAAAGAUGAAAAGAACUUUGAAAAGAGAGUGAAACAGUACGUGAAAUUGUUGAAAGGGAAGGGUAUUUGAUCCGACAUGGGAUUUACUCAUCAUUGCUCCUUGUGGGUGGUGCUCUGGGUUUUUUCUGGGCCAGAAUCAGUUUGUGUGGCAGGAUAAAGGCGUGAGGAAGUAGCUCUUCUGGAGCAAUAUAACUCAUGUUAAUACUGCCUAUGCGGACUGAGGAAUGCGGUUUUUACCAAGGAUUCUGGCAUAACGAUUAAAUACCGC
rnacentral:rRNA from 1 species